CCCCACCCCAGUGAGGAAGGAGAUUGCUGCCCCUAACCAGCCAGAGACUUAGUGAACUUGAACAUUCCUUUACAUUGUUGAAGAAAUGAAGCCAAGGUUAUCCAGAUGGUCUAAAGGAAAGUCACCUGUAAAAGAUCUGGGCUUUGAACGUGAACAGCUGGGAGGGUGGGUCCCACUCAUCAAAGAAGAAAAAUCUCUGGAACUGGGGUGAACUGCUGGCUGGGCCUGGAAGGUUUCCAUGUUGCUGGGGCCAUGGAGAUUUCCAGGGUUGACCAUACCAACUUCUCCCAGGGUCCGCUUCCCUGGGCCAGCCACACCAUUCGGGCCUGGGCCAGCAGAAGGUUUUGCAGUCCUCACUGGCAGUGGGGAGAGGAGUGACCUCUGCCCCACAGCUUCCUUUCCAUGCCAUGCAGUGGGAGAGUUAAGAUGGGUGAAGAUUGAUUUUGCCUUAAAUGAAGAGAAUUCCUGAUUCUCCUUGUGCUAUGACUUGGGCAUAAGAUCGUGGUCACCUGGAACUGAGCUGCGCACCCCUGUACCCUAAACAAUGGGUUUGAGUUUGAGCUUUUGUUCUUUUUGUCUUUUUCUAGAUCACCAUGUAAGUUGCAUCCUCAGCUCAGGUCCAGCCCCCUCAGGAUCCCCUUCUUACCCCCAGCCCCUGGUGCUGUCUGUGGUCAGGUGACCUUACUCAGGAGCAGAUAUCUCCUUGGCCUUCGUGGUGCCUCAUCCAUCCAGACGUGCCUGUAGCAUUCCAGAGCUCACUGGCUCUACUAGAUGUGCCUUCCCGCUCGGCUUCCAGCGGCUUGGCGGUCCCUCUUUCUGCCAGAUGUGAGUAGGACUCGUGAGACGGCCGGCACACCUGCCCUCCCCGUCCAGGUCCUGCGCCAUAGGAGUGGCCAUCUGACCUGGCCCAGCACUUUUGGAUACUGCAGGCAGUCUCAGAGGCCCCCCUCUUUGGACACCAGGACUCAGUCCAGCCCAAGGCCACCUGGGCAGCUCCCAGCCCAAAAGCCUGGGGCUACUUGUAGACCCAGGAGAGGAUUUCUACAGCGUUCUGCCAAGGCCAAAAGGGAGGGAUGAGGGGGGUUAGGGAGAGGGGACCUAUGUGCCUCAUUCAGUAGUUUAGUGGUGAUUACUAAUAUGCUUUUCCAAAUAAAGUCUGGUUGUCUGA